CAACGUUUAGUGCCCCAUCACAUCAUCUCUAACCACACAUUAAUGGUACGGUUUCAUGUACUUCUCAAUAUUUUCCUCUAUAGUCCUUUAAUUCACACUAGCUCCAUCCAUAUAGUAGUGGGAACAAGUGUACUUUAUAAAUUUAUCUUUAUUUAUAUGGAAUCCUUUAACAAUAAUCCCCACAAUUCUCCAAAAUAGAUUUGUAUAUCCUUGUAGAAUUUAGUUGCUACCUAGCUGAAUGUCAUCUUCUUCACGGCCUAAUUUAUCUUUUCCUCUAGGCUUAGCCCUUCUUGUUCUUGUCCUUGUUUGUAUGAUUGGUAUAUUUUCAUGUUGUUACCAUUGGGAUAAGCUUCGAUCCUUUCUUUGCUAUUCAACUUCUGCUCAUGAUGAUCAAUCCUCAUCAGAUGGAUCAAAUGUUUCAGCUAGUUCUAAAUCUAUUCAGGGGAAGGAGCAGAAAAAUGGGGAGAGCUUGACAAUAAUAUUGAUGCCGGGAGAUGAUGUUCCAAAGUUUGUGGCUUUGCCUACUCCUCGUGGGUGUACACUCCAACUCAAUGCUCUAGUAUAGACUGUAGUACAGAUUUUCAUGUAAUUGAUAGCUUCAGAAUCAAAUGAAAUAUGUGUAUAUAUAGCUUAUAAGCAGCACAGAAUUUAAGUAUAAAUCUUACCAAAAAAUAGACAAUUUGUUUACUUCUUGGCUUUAAAAUCCAAUUUAACGUUGUAUUGGAUUGUGGACCCUUUAAUGGCUUAAUUUCUUCUCUUUGAUGUAUGAUCUAUAUCUGGAUAAGGUUAUAAGGCAAGGUAAAAAUGGAAAAGACUUACUUUAGCUCGAUAUUUGUACCAAAUCAUGUAAUGCAAUACAUAUAAUGUAUUAUAUAAAGUUUUAAAAGUUAAUCAUGGUUAAUUAAUAUGCAAUUCUUUCGUCCCAUUUUAGGUGGCUUUGUUUGACUACGGGUAAACUUUAAGAAUGAAAGAAAGUAUUAUGAAAUUUGUGGUGUAAAAUAAUUUUAUUUGUGUGGAUAAAAUGAAAUUGUUUCAAAUUAUAGAAAAAAUAUCAUUUGUUUUUUAAAAACCUAAAAAAAAGUGUAUUUAUUAUGAGUAUUCUUUUUUACAGCUACGACUAGCAGACAAUCUAUAUUGCUCAUGUAUAGUCCACUUAAAGAUGGUUUGCUGAUUCGACUUUUUUUGUUUUAUAAUUUGAUUUGGGUCUUUGAUGAUGUUGAGAUAAUGUUAGCCAAAUUUCACAAAAGAAAGUGCAGUUUCGUCUGGCAAUUGAAAUGUUACACACAUGUAAUUUGCAAGGGUUACAUUCUUAUGCGUGUUUAAACUUGAAUCAAUAUUACCUUCAAAUAACACGUGGCAUAAAGAGUGCAUUCACUUUUAUGCAUCUGUUGAUUUAGUAUAAAUGAGAAAAAAAAGUCAUGUGCAAACACAAUAGUUAAGUGAGAAAAAUUCAUAUGCAAUACAUAUCACACGCAUCUAUUAGUUUGAUAUAAAUGUGGGUAAGUUUUUCAUGUUUGACCUGAAUAAAUUAUUUAUUGAUCAGUGGCUAAUGAUUUCACAUUUUUAGACCCAAUGAAAGAACUAGUGAUUUUUCCAUUACACAAAUUUAUUCUUCUCAAAAGUUGGUGUGCCAUCAUAUCAUCUUAAUUAAACAACAGAUAAUGGUACGGUUUCAUGUACUUUUCAUUUUCCUCUAUCCCUUUAAUUUCCCACUACUCCAUAUGGUAGUGGAAACAAUUCUAAUCUACAAUUUUAUAUUUCUUCAUAUUGUUACGGGGAACGAAAUUGCGUACUUUUGGGAGUUUUUUUUUUUUUUUUCAAUUGUGUGAUAGUAGAAAAUGGUUCCCAAUUGAUAACGGACUUAAUAUAAUUAACAAUAAAAUAAGGGCACCUUGGCAGGUCAAAAAUGUCGUUGAUCAUUUUGGUAAACGUUUAAAUAGUGAUAAUUUUAUUUUAUUUUUGCCAAUACCUAUAGAGAGGGGCAGAGGGCAGUAUGCUUUUUGCAACUAGCCAAUCUGAGGGAAAAAUGAAAGAUCGCGUUAUAUUUGAGGAAGCUACCUCUUUAUGACAAUAAAAUUAAUAUUGAAAAUUAAUCAAGAUAACAUCCCAAUUUUCAGGCUAAGACCAACAAAGAUUCAUUUUGUUAUUAAUAAUGCCAACAAUAGAUAGUGUUGUGUCUUAUAAAGUUCUGUUAACUACGUGUAUAUUACCUUUUUGUGAAGCUCUUUGUAUACAAGAUGGAAGGGAGGAAGUUUUUUGUCAUUGUGUUCGAAACAAAAAAUAUUUCGAGCCCACAAAAUUCAUUUUAUUUUUUUAAGGAAUUUAAUUUAAUUUCCUCACGGUAUUUGAGAUAUUGAGUAAUUUUCUCCUUGGAUAGAACAGAGUCACCUUGUUGGAAUAGUAGCACUUCAAAUUCCAAGAUACUUCGAAUGCAAAAAAGGGAAUAAAUCACACUUCCAUUUGCAAAUAAAUGCAGAAAAUAGAAGAAAAUAAGAAUUAAAAUCGAUGAAAAUAUCCUAGGCAAGGUGUUUGUAUUUAUAGCCAAUGAAUAGGUGAACCUCAUGAGACCGUGCCAAUUGAUAUGUUGAAGUGCAUUCUCAUUUGCAGCACAACUCAAAGAUCAUGAAUUCGAAUCCCAUCCUCACUAGAAACCCAACAUAUAUAAGCCUCCCAUUAUAGGCAAGCAUCUUGUAAUCAAAUCACACGUAAGAAUAAAUUUUAACUUAUCAUUUUUCACCAUAUUUUGGAAGCAAAAAUUUAUAUCCUCUGAUUUCCUUGGUUUACUAAUUAAUUUAUUUUAUAUUUAGCUUGGGUGCUUACCUAACCCCUACUACGUUUACUUUUGAUUUAUUUAAUUAAUUAAAAAAAGUAGUGCUUCAUCAUAUAUACAUCUCAAACGACAGAUUAUACUGUACGGUUUCAUGUACUUUCCAUUUCCUCGUCCUUUAAUUUCCCACUACUCCAUAUAUGGUAGUGGAAACAACUCAACUUUGCAAUUUUAUAUAUCUUUCUUCAAAUGGUAUCCUUUAAUAAUCUCCACCAUUAAAUAUGCAAAUUAGAUUUGUAUAUCCUUAUAAAAGUUAGUUGCUAGCUAGCUCAAUGUUGAAUAAUUCAGAAUCUUCUUCUUCUUCUUCACGGCCUAAUAUAGCUUUUCCUUUAGGUCUAGCUCUUCUUGUCCUAGUACUUGUUUGUAUGACUGGCUUAUUUUCUUGUUUCUACCAUUGGAAUAAGCUUCGAUCCCUUCUUUGUUCUUCAACUUCUUCUCAUGAUGAUCAUCUUGAUGAAGAUGAUCAAUCCUCAUUUGAUGGAUCAAUAGUUUCAGCCAAUUCUAAAACUAUCCAGGAGCAGAAGAUUGGUGAGAGCUUGACUAUAUUGAUGCCGGGAGAUGAUAUUCCAAAGUUUGUGGCUUUGCUCGCUCCCUAUCAGUGCACUCUCCAACUUGAAACACUUGUAUAGACUAAAUAUAUAGUAUAUAUUUUUAUGUAAUAGCUUCAGAACCAAAUGAAAUAUAUUAUGUUAAUUUGUUUAUUUCUUGUCUUUAAUAUUCAUACUUAUAUUUGGAUUGUGGACCCUUUUAUGUCUUAUAUAAGGUUUUUCGGGCAAGGUAAAGAUGGAAAAUGCUUACCUGCAUUAGCUUGGCGUUUACAUUAAAUUAAUUAAUGUAAAAUAUGUGUUGUAUAUGUAUAUAAUUUUUUUAAAA